AAAUUGAAGAGUUUGAUCAUGGCUCAGAUUGAACGCUGGCGGCAGGCCUAACACAUGCAAGUCGAGCGGAAACGACACUAACAAUCCUUCGGGUGCGUUAAUGGGCGUCGAGCGGCGGACGGGUGAGUAAUGCCUAGGAAAUUGCCUUGAUGUGGGGGAUAACCAUUGGAAACGAUGGCUAAUACCGCAUAAUGCCUACGGGCCAAAGAGGGGGACCUUCGGGCCUCUCGCGUCAAGAUAUGCCUAGGUGGGAUUAGCUAGUUGGUGAGGUAAUGGCUCACCAAGGCGACGAUCCCUAGCUGGUCUGAGAGGAUGAUCAGCCACACUGGAACUGAGACACGGUCCAGACUCCUACGGGAGGCAGCAGUGGGGAAUAUUGCACAAUGGGCGAAAGCCUGAUGCAGCCAUGCCGCGUGUAUGAAGAAGGCCUUCGGGUUGUAAAGUACUUUCAGUUGUGAGGAAGGGGGUAGCGUUAAUAGCGCUAUCUUUUGACGUUAGCAACAGAAGAAGCACCGGCUAACUCCGUG
rnacentral:rRNA from 1 species